UGCAGCAACGCCGCGUGAGGGACGACGGCCUUCGGGUUGUAAACCUCUUUUGGCAGGGAAGAAGCGAAAGUGACGGUACCUGCAGAAAAAGCACCGGCUAACUACGUGCCAGCAGCCGCGGUAAUACGUAGGGUGCAAGCGUUGUCCGGAAUUAUUGGGCGUAAAGAGCUCGUAGGCGGUUUGUCGCGUCUGCUGUGAAAACGCGAGGCUCAACCUCGCGCCUGCAGUGGGUACGGGCAGACUAGAGUGUGGUAGGGGAGAUUGGAAUUCCUGGUGUAGCGGUGGAAUGCGCAGAUAUCAGGAGGAACACCGAUGGCGAAGGCAGAUCUCUGGGCCAUUACUGACGCUGAGGAGCGAAAGCGUGGGGAGCGAACAGGAUUAGAUACCCUGGUAGUCCACGCCGUAAACGUUGGGAACUAGAUGUGGGGUCCAUUCCACGGAUUCCGUGUCGCAGCUAACGCAUUAAGUUCCCCGCCUGGGGAGUACGGCCGCAAGGCUAAAACUCAAAGGAAUUGACGGGGGCCCGCACAAGCGGCGGAGCAUGCGGAUUAAUUCGAUGCAACGCGAAGAACCUUACCAAGGCUUGACAUGCACCUGAAAAGGCUGGAAACAGUCUCCUCGCA
rnacentral:rRNA from 1 species